rnacentral:rRNA from 1 species
UACGUAGGGGGCAAGCGUUGUCCGGAAUUAUUGGGCGUAAAGCGCGUGUAGGCGGUUCGGUAAGUCCGCUGUGAAAGUCGGGGGCUCAACCCUCGAAAGCCGGUGGAUACUGUCGGACUAGAGUGCGGAAGAGGCGAGUGGAAUUCCUGGUGUAGCGGUGAAAUGCGCAGAUAUCAGGAGGAACACCGGUGGCGAAGGCGGGUCUCUGGGCCGAUACUGACGCUGAGGAGCGAAAGCGUGGGGAGCAAACAGG